rnacentral:rRNA from 1 species
UGCAAGUCAAGGGGCUCUUCGGAGCACCGGCAGACUGCUCAGUAACACGUCAAUAAUCUGCCCUUAGGUCUGGGAUAGCUUCGGAAAACUGAAGGUAAACCCGGAUAGGAGUUUAUGAUUGGAAUAUCUUAACUCUUAAAAGCAAUGCCUAAGGAUGAGUUGGCGGCUGAUUAGGUUUGGUGAGGUAAAGGCUCACCAAGCCGAUGAUCAGUAAAGGCCUUGAGAGAGGUAGCCUUGAGAAGGACACUUAGACACUGGUCCUAGCCCUACGGGGUGCAGCAGGCGCGAAACCUUUACAAUGCACGAAAGUGUGAUAAGGGGACCCCAAGUGCUUAUACUAAGUAUAGGCUUUUGUUGAGAGUAAAUAUCUCGGCGAAUAAGUGGUGGGUAAGACGGGUGCCAGCCGCCGCGGUAACACCUGCGCCGCAAGUGGCAAUCACAUUUAUUGGGCCUAAAGCGUCCGUAGCCGGUUUAGUAAAUCUUCUGUGAAAUCGUUGUGCCUAACAUAACGGCGUGCAGAAGAGACUGCUAAACUUGGAACCGGGAGGAGUUAGAAGUAUUUUAGGGGGAGCGGUAAAAUGCUAUAAUCCCUGAAGGACUAUCUGUGGCGAAGGCGUCUAACUAGAACGGAUUCGACGGUGAGGGACGAAAGCUAGGGGAGCAAACCGGAUUAGAUACCCGAGUAGUCCUAGCUGUAAACGCUGUGAGCUAGGUGUCACGUAUUCUAUAUGGAUAUGUGGUGUCGUAGAGAAGUCGUUAAGCUCACCGCCUGGGAAGUACGGUCGCAAGACUGAAACUUAAAGGAAUUGGCGGGGGAGCGCUACAACGAGUGCGGCGUGCGGUUUAAUCUAAUUCCACACAGAAAAUCUCACCAGAAGCGACGGCAGGAUGAAAGUCAGUCUAAAGGGCUUACUUGACGAGCCGAGAGGUAGUGCAUGGCCGCCGUCAGCUCAUGCCGUGAGGUGUCCUCUUAAGUGAGGCAACGAGCAAGACCUGUAUCCACAAUUGCUAACAAGUUCUUUAGAAUGAUUGAGCACAUUGUGGAGACUGCUGUGGAAACACAGAGGAAGGUGCAGGCAACGGCAGGUCUGUAUGCUCCGAAUCUUCUGGGCUACACGCGCGCAACAAUGGUACGGACAAUGGAUACAACUCCGAAAGGAGAAGUUAAACCUCGAAACCGUACCUCAGUUCAGAUUGAGGAUUGUAACUCAUCCUCAUGACGAUGGAAUUCGUAGUAAUUGGAAGUCAUCAGCUUCCAGUGAAUAUGUCCCCGCUCCUUGCACACACCGCCCGUCAUCUCACCCGAGUAGGGUUUAGAUGAGGAUCAAUCUCAGAUUGGUUCGAAUCUGAGCUUUGCGAGGAGGGGCAAGUCGUCACAAGGUA